UGCACAGGACCCCAGAGAGGAAAAAGUGA
rnacentral:piRNA from 1 species